rnacentral:rRNA from 1 species
GACGAACGCUGGCGGCGCGCCUAACACAUGCAAGUCGAACGGAGCUGAGAGAAGCUUGCUUUUCUUAGCUUAGUGGCGAACGGGUGAGUAACGCGUGAGUAACCUGCCCUGGAGUGGGGGACAACAGUUGGAAACGACUGCUAAUACCGCAUAAGCCCACGAUCCGGCAUCGGAUUGAGGGAAAAGGAUUUAUUCGCUUCAGGAUGGACUCGCGUCCAAUUAGCUAGUUGGUGAGGUAACGGCCCACCAAGGCGACGAUUGGUAGCCGGACUGAGAGGUUGAACGGCCACAUUGGGACUGAGACACGGCCCAGACUCCUACGGGAGGCAGCAGUGGGGGAUAUUGCACAAUGGGGGAAACCCUGAUGCAGCGACGCCGCGUGGAGGAAGAAGGUUUUCGGAUUGUAAACUCCUGUCGUUAGGGACGAUAAUGGCGGUACCUAACAAGAAAGCACCGGCUAACUACGUG